CGGGGUGUGGCUCAGUUGGUAGAGCGCUGCGUUCGGGACGCAGAGGCCGCGUGUUCGAAUCACGUCACUCCGA
rnacentral:tRNA from 1 species